UAAGAGCCCGCCCGUCCCAGAGUCUCAUUGGCUGCAGCCUUGUAGCGCAUCCUCCCUAGGAUAUGAAUACGAAAGCAAUAAAGUCGUCGUUUUAGGAGGGACAAAUCCGAACCUGUCAGUCAAGGGCAUUUUAUACAAAGGACAGAAUUUAGUAAUGAAAACUUCAUGCUCUGGAGGUCGCGUAUUUGAAUGGCCUCACAUAGAGAAGGCUCUGCUCACAGAAAAUCAAAGCACACGGGAGCACCGUUCAGAAUAGCCUUCUUGACAUUAAUACACACACCCUCCUCCUUUCUACGAGUAGGGAGCUCUUUACACUCGAGUAUGUCUUCACACAAGUCAUUGCUGUACUGUACUGUACUAUGGAAUUGGCUAUCACAAGGUAAUAGUUAUGGGCAUCACAUCACCAGGAUUUGACAAAUGCAUGAAAACUGAAGCCAUCAAUAGCUACUGGACAUAGUAUAUGUCUCUUCAUUACAUCCAGUACCUGGCCGUAUGCUCUUGACUGAUACCUGGUGAACACAUGAGAGGGGGGGGGAAACUGACAGCAUGAAUUUGCUACAUCAAUGCAUGCUUACUUUGCAAUUGUUUGGAGGUCUCUGAAGAUGAAAAACAAGCCACUGUGAUGCAAGGGCUUUAGACCUGGACUAGCCAUGAUUUUGGAUUUGGAUACCUGAAGCCCACGGAGUGUAUUUCGUGUCAUAGUUACAAGAUAAAAACCUGUCUUCGCACAAUAAAUUGGUAACACCCCAGAGGGCUGCACAGGAUUUUUAUACUGGAAAAGUACAAACAACAGACAA